rnacentral:rRNA from 1 species
GUGAACAACUAAGGGCGCGCGGUGGAUGCCUAGGCUCUCGGAGGCGAUGAAGGACGCGAUAAGCCGCGAUAGGCCACGGCGAGGUGCAAGUAACCCUUGACCCGUGGAUUUCCGAAUGGGGCAACCCGGCUGGAUAGAUUCCAGUCAUGCAGUAAUGCAAGCGAACGCGGGGAACUGAAACAUCUCAUUACCCGCAGGAGAAGAAAACAAAUAGUGAUUCCCCCAGUAGUGGCGAGCGAACGGGGAAGAGCCCAAACCGUUGCCGUUUCGGCGACAGCGGGGUCAUGGGACCGCGAUACUCGACGAUGGACGAAGUGCAAUUACCUGGAAAGGUAAGCCGUGGAGGGUGAUAGCCCCGUGCACGACACCUCCAUCGAAGAUAGCGGUAUCCCGAGUAGGGCGGGACACGAGAAAUCCUGCCUGAAUUCGCCAGGACCUCCUGGCAAGGCUAAAUACUCCCGAGAGACCGAUAGUGAACCAGUACCGCGAGGGAAAGGUGAAAAGUACCCCGAGCAGGGGGGUGAAAUAGACCCUGAACCCGCGCGCCUACAAGCGGUCGGAGCCAUGAAAUAUGGUGACGGCGUGCCUUUUGCAUAAUGAGCCUACGAGUUAGUCGUCACCAGCGAGGUUAAGGGCUUCAGGCCCGUUAGCCGAAGUGAAAGCGAGCCUUAACAGGGCGUCGAGUUGGUGGCGCUAGACGCGAAACCUUGUGAUCUACCCACGAGCAGGUUGAAGUCGCGGUAACACGUGAUGGAGGACCGAACCGGUAAACGUUGAAAAGUUUUCGGAUGACUCGCGGGUAGGGGUGAAAGGCCAAUCAAACUGGGAAAUAGCUCGUACUCUCCGAAAUGCAUUUCGGUGCAGCCUGUGAUGUUCUGUUCCAGAGGUAGAGCUACUGGUUGGACGCGAGGGCUUCACCGCCUAUCAAAUCCGGAUAAACUCCGAAUGCUGGAACACGAAAUCAUGGAGUGAGCCCGCGGGUGCUAAGGUCCGCGGACGAGAGGGAAAGAACCCGGACCACCGGCUAAGGUCCCGGAUGGACAGUUAAGUUGAUCAAACGAGGUGGGAUCGCGGAGACAGCUAGGAUGUUGGCUUGGAAGCAGCCAUUCAUUUAAAGAGUGCGUAACAGCUCACUAGUCGAGCGAUCCCGCGUGGAUAAUACACGGGCAUCAAACUGUCAACCGAAGCCGUGGGGUUAGUGAUGAGCUAACCGGUAGGAGAGCAUUCCUGCCAGCUUUGAAGGUCACCCGCGAGAGUGACUGGAGCGGCAUGAAAAGCAAAUGUAGGCAUAAGUAACGAUAAUGGGGGCGAGAACCCCCCACGCCGCAAGACCAAGGAUUCCCCGGCAAUGUCAAUCAGCCGGGGGUCAGCCGGCCUCUAAGGCUCACCCGAGGGGGGAUGCCGACGAGAAACGGGUUAACAUUCCCGUGCUUCUCGUCACCGUGACGCGGUGACGGGGUGAUGAAUGGACCGCGCGCUGACGGAAUAGCGCGUUGAAGGCCGUACCCUAUGACGGUGGUAGUCAAGCACGCCACCCGAGGCGAAAGUCGAUAGUACCUCGAGGCCUCGGCCGAGGGGAUAGCGUCCAGGCAAUUUACCCCCUAGAAAACCCGCUAAACUUCAAGUGACGAGGAACCGUACUGUAAACGGACACACGUGGUCGGGUAGAACAUACCAAGGCGCUCGAGUGAUUCAUGGUCAAGGAACUAGGCAAAAUAGUCCUGUAACUUAGGGAUAAAGGACGCUCUAGUGAUAGAGCCGCAGAGUAAUGGCCCAGGCGACUGUUUACCAAAAACACAUGGCUAUGCCAAAUCGAAAGAUGACGUAUAUGGCCUGACACCUGCCCGGUGCCGGAAGGUUAAGAGGAGAGCUCAUCGGAAACGAGAAGGUUUGAAUUGAAGCCCCGGUAAACGGCGGCCGUAACUAUAACGGUCCUAAGGUAGCGAAAUUCCUUGUCGGGUAAGUUC